rnacentral:rRNA from 1 species
GACGAACGCUGGCGGCGUGCCUAAUACAUGCAAGUCGAGCGGACUUGACAGAGCUUGCUCUGUUCAAGUUAGCGGCGGACGGGUGAGUAACACGUGGGCAACCUGCCCUGCAGAUUGGGAUAACUCCGGGAAACCGGGGCUAAUACCGAAUAACAUUGAAAACCUCAUGGUUUUCUUUUAAAAGGCGGCUUCGGCUGUCACUGCAGGAAGGGCCCGCGGCGCAUUAGCUAGUUGGUGAGGUAACGGCUCACCAAGGCGACGAUGCGUAGCCGACCUGAGAGGGUGAUCGGCCACACUGGGACUGAGACACGGCCCAGACUCCUACGGGAGGCAGCAGUAGGGAAUCUUCCGCAAUGGACGAAAGUCUGACGGAGCAACGCCGCGUGAGUGAAGAAGGUUUUCGGAUCGUAAAACUCUGUUGUCAGGGAAGAACAAGUACGGGAGUAACUGACCGUACCUUGACGGUACCUGACCAGAAAGCCACGGCUAACUACGUGCCAGCCGCCGCCGUAACAC